AAUCCGGUUCCUAUUCCGGAACCCGGCAGCGGAACCGAAUCUACGGUCCCUCGUCAGAGAAACUCGUCGGGGUAACGCAAAGGGACUCGCAGACGCCAUUGGGAGCCCCGGACAGUUUUGUCUGUUCUGCAAAAGCGUUUGAGUGUCCUGUAAUACUCUAGCAGGAAGAUAGGGUUUUGAACGCGAAAGACAUUGCAGUUGCGGCAGUGUCCGGGUCGUCCCCUCG
rnacentral:rRNA from 1 species